AUCAUUAAGUGAAUACAUAGCUUAAUGAGGGGAACUCAGGGAACUGAAACAUCUAAGUACCUGAAGGAAGAGAAAGAAAUUCGAUUCCGUAAGUAGCGGCGAGCGAACGCGGAUUAGCCCAAACCAAUAAAGUUUUCUUUAUUGGGGUUGCGGACAUAUCAUAACGAAGAGGGAUCGUAAUUGAAGAGGUUUGGAAAGACCCACCACAGAAGGUAAUAGUCCUGUAUGUUAAACGAGAAGACUU
rnacentral:rRNA from 1 species